UGUGGGAGCGAGCUUGCUCGCGAUGGCGUCAGGUCAGUUGCAUCAAUAGUGGCUGACACACCGCAAUCGCGAGCAAGCUCGCUCCCACA
rnacentral:misc_RNA from 1 species